AUUGAACGCUGGCGGCAGGCCUAACACAUGCAAGUCGAGCGGAUGAAGGGAGCUUGCUCCUGGAUUCAGCGGCGGACGGGUGAGUAAUGCCCAGGAAUCUGCCUGGUAGUGGGGGAUAACGUCCGGAACCGGGCGCUAAUACCGCAUCCGUCCUGAGGGAGAAACUGGGGGUUCUUCGGACACCACCCGUUCAGCUGACCCUAGGUCGGAUUAGCUAGUUGGUGGGGUAAGGGCCUACCAAGGCGACGAUCCGUAACUGGUCUGAGAGGAUGAUCAGUCACACUGGAACUGAGACACGGUCCAGACUCCUACGGGAGGCAGCAGUGGGGAAUAUUGGACAAUGGGCGAAAGCCUGAUCCAGCCAUGCCGCGUGUGUGAAGAAGGUCUUCGGAUUGUAAAGCACUUUAAGUUGGGAGGAAGGGCAGUAAGUUAAUACCUUGCUGUUUUGACGUUACCAACAGAAUAAGCACCGGCUAACUUCGUG
rnacentral:rRNA from 1 species